AACGAACGCUGGCGGCAGGCUUAACACAUGCAAGUCGAGCGCCCCGCAAGGGGAGCGGCAGACGGGUGAGUAACGCGUGGGAACGUACCCUUUGCUACGGAAUAGCUCCGGGAAACUGGAAUUAAUACCGUAUGUGCCCUACGGGGGCAAGAUUUAUCGGCAAAGGAUCGGCCCGCGUUGGAUUAGCUAGUUGGUGGGGUAAUGGCCUACCAAGGCGACGAUACAUAGCUGGUCUGAGAGGAUGAUCAGCCACAUUGGGACUGAGACACGGCCCAAACUCCUACGGGAGGCAGCAGUGGGGAAUAUUGGACAAUGGGCGCAAGCCUGAUCCAGCCAUGCCGCGUGAGUGAUGAAGGCCUUAGGGUUGUAAAGCUCUUUCACCGGAGAAGAUAAUGACGGUAUCCGGAGAAGAAGCCCCGGCUAACUUCGUGCCAGCAGCCGCCGUAAGAC
rnacentral:rRNA from 1 species